CAGGGCCAUUCAUGAUGGACCUGGGCGCGGCGUUACACAAGUGGCGCCGGGUGCGUAACACGUCACUAACCUGCCCAAGACUGGGGGAUAGCCCGCCGAAAGGCGGAUUAAUACCGCAUAACACUAUUGAGUGGCAUCACUUGAUAGUUAAACCUGAGGGGGUCUUGGAUGGGGUUGCGGGUCAUUAGCUAGUUGGUAAGGUAACGGCUUACCAAGGCGACGAUGACUAGGGGAGCUGAGAGGCUGGUCCCCCACACGGGCACUGAGAUACGGGCCCGACUCCUACGGGAGGCAGCAGUAGGGAGUGUUGGGCAAUGGGCGAGAGCCUGACCCAGCCAUGCCGCGUGCAGGACGAAGGCUUUCUGAGUCGUAAACUGCUUUUGACAGGGAAGAAUAAGCUGAACGUGUUCAGUGAUGACGGUACCUGCAGAAUAAGCACCGGCUAACUCCGUGCCAGCAGCCGCGGUAAU
rnacentral:rRNA from 1 species